rnacentral:rRNA from 1 species
UACGUAGGGGGCGAGCGUUGUCCGGAAUCAUUGGGCGUAAAGCGCGUGUAGGCGGCUCGAUAAGUCCGGUGUGAAACCUUGGGGCUCAACCCCAAGCCUGCACUGGAUACUGCCGAGCUAGAGUCCGGGAGGGGAGACUGGAAUUCCGUGGUGUAGCGGUGAAAUGCGCAGAUAUCAGGAGGAACACCGAUGGCGAAGGCAGGUCUCUGGGCAUUAACUGACGCUGAGGAGCGAAAAGCAUGGGGGAGCGAACAGG